rnacentral:rRNA from 1 species
GAAUAUUGGACAAUGGGCGAAAGCCUGAUCCAGCAAUGCCGCGUGAGUGAUGAAGGCCUUAGGGGUGUAAAGCUCUUUUACCAGGGAUGAUAAUGACAGUACCUGGAGAAUAAGCUCCGGCUAACUCCGUGUCAGCAGCCGCGGUAAUACGGAGGGAGCUAGCGUUGUUCGGAAUUACUGGGCGUAAAGCGCGCGUAGGCGGCUCAGCAAGUCAGGGGUGAAAUCCCGGGGCUCAACCCCGGAACUGCCUUUGAAACUGCUAGGCUAGAAUCCUGGAGAGGCGAGUGGAAUUCCGAGUGUAGAGGUGAAAUUCGUAGAUAUUCGGAAGAACACCAGUGGCGAAGGCGACUCGCUGGACAGGUAUUGUCGCUGAGGUGCGAAAGCGUGGGGAGCAAA